CCUGUGUUCCCUGGCAGCUCUCAGCACAGCUCCAGCUCUGCUGCUGCCCUCGUCCCAGGAGGCGGGAGCAGACAUAAAGGAGCUUUUCCUGCAUGAAGGAGAAGUUUAGGCAUAGCAGGAGAAUUUGCUCUGAUGGAUGUUAACUCGGCUUAAUCAAAGGAGUUGAAAUGGAGUCAAUUCCCCACUCUCUAGUGCAGAAACUCAACGUGCUGCUUCAGGGCAAUCUGCCCUGGUAAGGCAUCUUCUAAAGGAUGAUUUUGCUUGUGCCGUGCCAUCUUGGCCUCCUUCACCUCACAUCUAACUGGGGGCAGCAGAAAACACAUGUGGUGUUUCAUGUCUCCUUCCAACAGAGUCACACGGGCGCCCCUGCAGGGUCUGUGGGCGUCAGAGCCCCUCCAGCACACGGAAUGCAGGCACAAAGCGUGGAUGCUCCCACAGCCGUGGGCUGCACGAUUCCUUUGCAGGCAGAGAAACAGCAGUGGUUUAAGGACAGUAACCGGGAGAAAAUGGGAUUGAUGACUCAAAUUUGUGCAAGAGUCAGAAGGUUUGCAGCUCAGUGCAAAUCUCCCUUCCUGUUCUUUUCUGUUUGCUUUCCAUCAGCAGCAACCGUCUCCUUGCGGUUAAGAUGAGGAAGGAGGGAUUGGCACUCCUGGGCUCUGUUCUUAACUCUGCCAUUAAUUUGAUGCAUUUCUUCGGAGAGUCCACAUACAACGAAACAGCCAGAGCUGGUGCCAGCUCAAAAUUCCCUCUGACAUCAGGGGAGCAACGGCUAUUCAGCAUGAGUGGAAAAAUCCAGCCCUCAGUGCUUCCUUUGCCUCAGCUUCCCAGGCACAGUGCAGUUCCAGCCCAUGCUGUGGAUUUAGAUCCGUGGAACCAGCAGUGCCUGACCCCUGGCUGUAGCCCACAGGCUUCCCCUGACUGAGAUCCCUCACGGAGAAAUUGCAUCCACUUUAAGCUCUGCUCUCUCCUUUCUUCUGUGUUGUUCUUCAUGUGGCCACCUGGCAGAGGUGCAGUGAGAUCCCCUGGUCAAAGUGAUGAGCGCAGAACAAAUCCUCACCCAGAAACUCUCUAUCUGCAUGCCUGGUGUUCAGAAACGGCAGUAGGCUGCUAAGAAGACAUUGCCCUGUCCUUAGGGAUAUGGUCUCCCUUGUUGCUCUUUCCUGUAGAAGGAGAAAGACCCAGCAUCUGUAUCUGCAGGGAGAGGACCAUCACAGCCCCCAGUAAAACAGCUCCUGCCUUUGGGGAGAGCAGGACUGAGGCAGUGUGGAGCAUCGUGCAUGGGGAGCAUCCUUUGUGUUGAGUAUCCCAUGUGCAGAGCAUCCCUUGCGUUGAGCAUCCCAAUGACACCCAACCCUGUGCAGGCCAGGGUUGAGCACCUCCCACACAACGAGGGACUGAGAAUUAGAAGAAGAAGCGAGAAAGGAUCGGUGCACUUUUCCAAUUAAAAUCACAUGCAAUUAAUUUGUAUGAACACUGUGGAAGUCCCAGGAAGCUCCCCGCUCCAGAUGACAUUUGUGUUUGAACUCCCUGGGGUGCACUUCGACCCGCAGCUCUGAGCACCGUUUGAAGGAUGCAAGCCCAUGGUGUAACUGAAGAGCAGACCUUGUGAAGGAAGGCAAAUUUUCCUGCUUAAAAGAAAAACAAUUGCAAAAAGCUACUUUUUUCCAUAUCAAACCGCACUCCAUAAUCCACAGUUCUCUUCCAAAAAGGGGAAGAAAAAAAGAAGGCGUCAGCACAGGGGCAGCUGUAGCUGAAGCAUGCCGCCAGCUCCCACUUAGCAUUAUUUAUCAUCAAUGAUCUCCAGGCUCGGCCACGAUGCAUAAUUCAUUUUCUGUGUCUUGGAUGGAGCUGAGUCUCGCGCCUCUCUGCCGCAGCCGAGCUGCGUUCCGCCUCCUUUGAAACCACACCGUGGGCAUCUCGUUGUGCAGAGCCCUGGGCCUCCUGGUGCCCAUGUGGAUGCGACAGUCUGGCGAGCCUGCUGCUAAGUUUAUCCCUGCGUGCGUUCCCCGGUGCCUGUCCUCCCCGCUGCAUCGCCUGCGAUUUGGGCACCGGCUCCCGCUGCUAUGGGGAGGAUGGGAGAGCCACGCUGAGUCCUAUGGGCUGAGAGGUGUAAGAAGGAAGGAGUAGAGCUGUGUCUGUGUGUAUGUGGGUUGGUAUGGGGUGUACAGCAUCCCUGGGAGCGCGG
ensembl:lncRNA